UUUUGUCAUAAAUUUAAAGUAGGACUCAGAGCAGCACAAAAAAUUAUUGAAUUGCUACAAGAAGAGAUAAACACGCCCAAUCGUACCUGCCAGAAGAGAUACUGUUCAACAUCAAGAUUGAGCCCUAUGACAGUGAACUGGAGCUACAGAUAGCCCUCAAGAAAGCACAGAGACUGUUACAGAAUCAAAGAACAGUGUAGAAAAGAUAAACAGAUUGCAUCCAUCUUCAUGGUCAUGGAAUAAGCCGAGCAAGAUACCAGCACGAAGCAGGUGCCAAGCAGACUUGUGACUUUUCGAAGUCCUUCUUACUGAGAUCUAUGGAAUGGCAUUUAUAUCCAUUGAGAUAAUAAAGCUAAUGUAAUCUAUGUUAUCAAUGA